CUGGUUGAAAAAUGUUGGUUCUUUAAAUCAUUGCAAUUAUUUGCUUAGAAGAAUGUAUUUAUUUGAUUGAAAUACAUGUUUCCUGAUGUCUUGCUUGUAUUUCUGUUCAGGUGUUCGGAAAUGGGUCUUAAAGCCCUGGAAUGUGUGCAUAAGAAAUGAAAGAAGGAAAAUAAUUUGCCAGAUUUGUGGGUGGAGGCACUUAUAUUUGUGGGUGGAGGCACUUUGAUAAGAAUCUGGUUGUUCAGGAUGUAUUGUAUAUUGGUUAUAUCAUGGUUUGAAAGCUUCAUAUAUUAUUUGUGGCUUUUGGUUAUAAAUAAAUGGUUAUAGUUUAUCCAUCUUAACCUCUUUCAAUAAAAG